rnacentral:tRNA from 1 species
GGGAACUCAGGGACUUAGGAAAACGGCGUGUAGCUGACUCUUAAUCAGUAGGUUGGAGGUUCGAGUCCUCCACGGCCCACCA